ACUUCCCGGCAAUGGGCAAAGAGACACAUUGUUGGUGAUGGUGUUCUUAUAUCAGUCAGGACCAGAGCACAUGGCAGUCCUUUGUUCAUCCUAGCCUGAUGCCUGGCUUUGUGGUCAAAGCUGUUUUAUGCCCAGGACUCAUAA